rnacentral:ncRNA from 2 species
GUCUAGAUUUGUCGGCUUGCGGGGAGACUUCAGGAGUCGCUGUCUCUGAACUUCCAGCCUCAGAGACCGCCGCCCUUGUCCCCGAGGGCCAUGGGCCGGGUCUCAGGGCUUGUGCCCUCUCGCUUCCUGACGCUCCUGGCGCAUCUGGUGGUCGUCAUCACCUUAUUCUGGUCCCGGGACAGCAACAUACAGGCCUGCCUGCCUCUCACGUUCACCCCCGAGGAGUAUGACAAGCAGGACAUUCAGUGAGCUCUUGGGACGGGGUGGCCAGAACGAAGAGGUGGUGGGAGUGGAGGGGUCUUAGAAUAAGUCCAAAGGCCUGGGCCAGUCCACUUCCUCUCUGCAGGCUGGUGGCCGCGCUCUCUGUCACCCUGGGCCUCUUUGCAGUGGAGCUGGCCGGUUUCCUCUCAGGAGUCUCCAUGUUCAACAGCACCCAGAGCCUCAUCUCCAUUGGGGCUCACUGUAGUGCAUCCGUGGCCC